GAUGAACGCUAGCGGCAGGCCUAACACAUGCAAGUCGAGGGGGAAGUUACUUUCGGGUGACUGAGACCGGCGUACGGGUGCGUAACGCGUAUACAAUCUGCCUUUCACUGGGGGAUAGCCCGAAGAAAUUUGGAUUAAUACCCCAUAGUAUAUAGGGACGGCAUCGUUUUUAUAUUAAAGCUUAGGUGGUGAAAGAUGAGUAUGCGUUCUAUUAGCUAGUUGGAGAGGUAACGGCUCCCCAAGGCGAUGAUAGAUAGGGGUUCUGAGAGGGAUGUCCCCCACACUGGUACUGAGAUACGGACCAGACUCCUACGGGAGGCAGCAGUGAGGAAUAUUGGACAAUGGUCGGAAGACUGAUCCAGCCAUGCCGAGUGCAGGAUGAAGGUCUUAUGGAUUGUAAACUGCUUUUGUAAGGGAAGAAUAAGGGCUACGCGUAGUUUGAUGACGGUACCUUACGAAUAAGCAUCGGCUAACUCCGUG
rnacentral:rRNA from 1 species